rnacentral:rRNA from 1 species
AGUGAACGCUGGCGGUAGGCCUAACACAUGCAAGUCGAACGGCAGCACAGUACUAGCUUGCUCUUACGGGUGGCGAGUGGCGGACGGGUGAGGAAAACAUCGGAAUCUACUUUUUCGUGGGGGUUAAAGUAGGGAAACUUACGCUAAUACCGCAUACGACCUAUGGGUGAAAGCAGGGGAUCUUCGUACCUUGCGCGAUUGAAUGAGCCGAUGUCGGAUUUGCUAGUUGGCGGGGUAAAGGCCCACCAAGGCGACGAUCCGUCGCUGGUCGGAGAGGAUGAUAGGCCACACUGGAACUGAGACACGGACAAGAGUCCUAAGAGAGGCAGCAGUGGGGAAUAUUGGACAAUGGGCGCAAACCUUAUCCAACCAUACCGCGUGUGAUAAAAAGGCCUUGGGGUUGUGAAGACGGUUUGUGGGUAGAGAAAAGCAUCAGGUUAAGAACCCGCUGUUCUGACGGUACCCGAAGAAUAAGCACCGGCUAACUUCGUG